rnacentral:sRNA from 1 species
UCACGUCGGUGUUCUAUGGCAUCGCUUGU